GACGAACGCUGGCGGCGUGCCUAAUACAUGCAAGUCGAGCGGACCAAAGGGAGCUUGCUCCUGGAGGUUAGCGGCGAACGGGUGAGUAACACGUGGGCAACCUGCCUGUAAGACUGGGAUAACAUCGAGAAAUCGGUGCUAAUACCGGAUAAUAAAAAGAACUGCAUGGUUCUUUUUGAAAGAUGGUUUCGGCUAUCACUUACAGAUGGGCCCGCGGCGCAUUAGCUAGUUGGUGAGGUAACGGCUCACCAAGGCAACGAUGCGUAGCCGACCUGAGAGGGUGAUCGGCCACACUGGGACUGAGACACGGCCCAGACUCCUACGGGAGGCAGCAGUAGGGAAUCUUCCGCAAUGGACGAAAGUCUGACGGAGCAACGCCGCGUGAGUGAUGAAGGUUUUCGGAUCGUAAAACUCUGUUGUUAGGGAAGAACAAAGUGCCGUUCGAAAGGGCGGCACCUUGACGGUACCUAACGAGAAAGCCACGGCUAACUACGUGCCAGCAGCCGCGGUAAAGUC
rnacentral:rRNA from 1 species